rnacentral:rRNA from 1 species
GAGUUUGAUCCUGGCUCAGAACGAACGCCGGCGGCGUGCCUAACACAUGCAAGUCGAGCGGGAAAGUUCCCUUCGGGGAGCGAGUACAGCGGCGAACGGGUGAGUAACACGUGAGCAACCUGCCCUGGACUUUGGGAUAACCCUCGGAAACGGGGGCUAAUACCGAAUACAACCUUUACUCGCAUGGGUUUUGGUGGAAAGUUUUUCGGUCUGGGAUGGGCUCGCGGCCUAUCAGCUUGUUGGUGGGGUGAUGGCCUACCAAGGCGACGACGGGUAGCCGGCCUGAGAGGGCGACCGGCCACACUGGACUGAGACACGGCCCAGACUCCUACGGGAGGCAGCAGUGGGGAAUAUUGCACAAUGGGCGAAAGCCUGACGCAGCGACGCCGCGUGGGGGAUGAAGCUUCUCGGAGUGUAAACCCCUUUCGACCCGGACGAAUGACCCGCAAGGGUUUGACGGUACGGGUAUAAGAAGCCCCGGCUAACUACGUGCCAGCAGCCGCGGUAAUACGUAGGGGGCCAGCGUUGCUCGGAAUUACUGGGCGUAAAGGGUUCGUAGGCGGUGCGGCAAGUUGGGAGUGAAAUCUCUGGGCUUAACCCAGAGGCUGCUUUCAAAACUGCCGUGCUCGAGUGCGAGAGAGGUCAGUGGAAUUGCAGGUGUAGCGGUGAAAUGCGUAGAUAUCUGCAGGAACACCCGUGGCGAAGGCGGCUGACUGGAUCGCAACUGACGCUGAGGAGCGAAAGCAUGGGGAGCGAACAGGAUUAGAUACCCUGGUAGUCCAUGCCGUAAACGUUGGGCACUAGGUGUGGGGGACAUUCCACGUUUUCCGCGCCGUAGCUAACGCAUUAAGUGCCCCGCCUGGGGAGUACGGCCGCAAGGCUAAAACUCAAAGGAAUUGACGGGGGCCCGCACAAGCGGCGGAGCAUGCGGAUUAAUUCGAUGCAACGCGAAGAACCUUACCAAGGCUUGACAUGGGCCGGACCGGGCUGGAAACAGUCCUUCCCCUUUGGGGCCGGUUCACAGGUGGUGCAUGGUUGUCGUCAGCUCGUGUCGUGAGAUGUUGGGUUAAGUCCCGCAACGAGCGCAACCCUCGUUCCAUGUUGCCAGCGCGUAAUGGCGGGGACUCAUGGGAGACUGCCGGGGUCAACUCGGAGGAAGGUGGGGACGACGUCAAAUCAUCAUGCCCCUUAUGUCUUGGGCUUCACGCAUGCUACAAUGGCCGGUACAAAGGGUUGCGAUACUGUGAGGUGGAGCUAAUCCCAAAAAGCCGGUCUCAGUUCGGAUUGGGGUCUGCAACUCGACCCCAUGAAGUCGGAGUCGCUAGUAAUCGCAGAUCAGCAACGCUGCGGUGAUACGUUCCCGGGCCUUGCACACAC